ensembl:lncRNA
AGAAACUACAAACAAACCCUGAGUCCCUGUAGCAGCCCUCCUAAGCCAAUGUGAGGACCCACAUUGCUCUUCCCACCAAAGAUGUAGCAGAGGACUUGAUGAUCUGUCUUAUUUGUGAGAGCUGGACCAUAAAGAAGGCAGAGCACUGAAGAACUGAUGCUUUCCAACUGUGGUGCUGAAGAAGACUCUUAGUCCCUUGGACAGCAAGGAUUGACACCAGUCAAUCUUAAAGGAAAUAAACCCUAAACACUCAUUGGAAGGACUGAGGCUGCAGCCACAGCUACAAUCCUUUGGCCACAUGAUGUGAAGAGCAGACUUAUUGGAAAAGACCCUGAGGUUGGGAAAGAUUGAAGGCUGAAGGCAGAGGAUGAAGUGGUUGGAUGGCAUCACUGAUUCAAUGGACAUGAACUUGGGCAAAUUCUGGAAGAUGAUGGACCUGAAUGAAUACACUGCUGAAAAAUUGUACCAAAUUUGCUGGAACUUGAAAAACGUAUUACAGCAACUGUUCAAAUCUAGGCUGGAAAUGGAGUUCCCUGAAACAUGAUCAUCUCCCACUCACAUCCUGGGAGUUGCUACAUUAUGGAUGUGAGCACUGGCGGUGAGCCACCAUCAGAGACCAUGAGGGCACCUUCCUUUCAUAGCUAGUUUUUGAGGAAACUACUCAAAAACUGUGUGAGUUUGGACUCUCUAAAGAAAAGGAGGGAAACCCUUUAAGAAAAAUAUCAUUCCUAUAUGAAUGCUUAUACAUAUUUUACAAAAGUCUACUGCAAUUCUACUCCUGGGCAUAUAUCCAGAGAAAAUUCUACUUUAAAAAGAUACACGCAAUGCUCAUAGCAGCAGCUACUUACAGUAGCCAAGACAUGGAAGCAACCUAAGUGUUCAGUGACAGGUGAAUAGAUAAAGAAGAUGUGGUUUAUAUACACAGUGGGAUAUUAUUCGGCCAUUAAAAAAGAA